GGGUGAUUAGCUCAGUGGUAGAGCAGCUGACUCUUAAUCAGCCGGUCGCUGGUUCGAAACCUGCAUCACCCA
rnacentral:tRNA from 2 species